rnacentral:rRNA from 1 species
GAUGAACGCUGGCGGCGUGCCUAAUACAUGCAAGUCGAGCGAACGGACGAGAAGCUUGCUUUUCUGAUGUUAGCGGCGGACGGGUGAGUAACACGUGGAUAACCGACCUAUAAGACUGGGAUAACUUCGGGAAACCGGAGCUAAUACCGGAUAAUAUUUUGAACCGCAUGGUUCAAAAGUAAAAGACGGUCUUGCUGUCACUUAUUGAUGGAUCCGCGCUUCAUUAGCUAGUUGGUAAGGUCACGGCUUACCAAGGCAACGAUGCAUAGCCGCCAUCAGCGGGAGGUUGGUCACCCUGUAUGUGAGACACGGCACAGACUCCUGCGGGAGGCCGCAGUAGGGAAUCUUACGCGAGGGGGCAAUGCGUGACAGAGCAACGCCGCGUGAGUGAUGAUGGUGUUCGGCCCGGAAAACGCUGUUAGUAUGGAAGAACAUAUGUGUAAGUAACUGUGCACAUCUUGACGGUACCUAAUCAGAAAGCCACGGCUAACUACGUG